ACUGGUGGCACAAAUGAAGAAGCUUUGAAAGAGUUUGCAAAGUUGCUUUCCGAAGAAAAAAAAUCCAGAAAUCCCAAAGUACCUACUACAAAUAAAUUGUAGAGGCGAAAUCGUGAUUUGGUAUAAAUGAAUCCUAGAUUUUAUGAUUUUGAAAUAAUAUUUGUAAUUCAAUUUCUGUAUUCUAGCUUUUGAUUGUUGGGCCGAUGUAAUAAUAUUCAAUAGUGUGUUAUGUAAAAAUUUUGUUACGUGCUUGA